rnacentral:lncRNA from 1 species
AUUUACACAUAUAAAUAAAAAUUUAUUUUGAAAACCAUAGAUACCUCCUACUUCCAAGAGUCAUGUGUUAAUAUUUUUAGUAAAUUAAGCAAUGUGCUGCUAAUGGUCUACUUUUACUUUUCCAGAAUUCCUCUUGCUGAUGACAUGAUUCCCGUUUGAGUCUGUUUAUAAGAUUCUGAAAGCUGAAGAGGGAAUUGUAGUACUGCACUGGCAUUAAAAGAAGUAGAUAAUAUCAAGGACACAAGGAGUGGGAGAGAUUGGACUGGGAGGCUGACCAGUGGCUGUUUUUGCAGAUAAGAAUCAAAUGUGAAGUCAAGAGGAAAAAUAUGUUAUAUUUGAAGCUCAAAAGGCAUGAAAAUGUGAGUUGGUUUGGAUGCAACUUUUCCUGCUGUUUUUCCAGAAAAUACAGUGGACCCUUGAGUUAUGACUGGCCUGACGUAAGAACAACUUGGGUUACAACCGGAAUUUUAGUUUUAACUUAUGAACAAAGUCUUGAAUUAUGACCUAAAUACCAGCUGCUUGGAGCCAGCUGACUAUGGACUGAAACCUCUGCAAACUGUGAGCUGAAAUAAACCUUUCCUUCUUUCACUUGUGGGUGGUGAGUAUUUUGUUUCAGCAAUGAGAAAAGUAACUAAGACAGCUAUUAAAAAGUGGGGCCUGUUUAGAGGCAGGUUUCUAGAUGCAUGACCUGGAAGGGUGUCUCUCUCUCUUUCUGACCUUUCCCUUCUCUCUCUGCUUAUGGGCCACCAUGAUGUGAGGAGCUUUUCUUUGCAGAACUUUCCACCAUACCAUUCCUGCAUUGGAGCCAGCUGGCUGAAUACCCUGAAAACUGUGAACCAAAUAAACCUGUCCUCCUUUAAGUUUGCAUAUCGUGUAUUUUGUUCCAAUGGCAAAGAAAUUGACUAAGAGAAAUUUUGGUAGUACAGAAGUAGGGUUGUUGCCGUGACCACAGCUGGCCAUGUGGUUUAGAAUCCAUUGGAACUGGUUUGCAGGAAGAGUUUGGAGAUAGAAGCUAGAGAAUCUCUAGAAUGCUAUAAGUGGAGUUUGAUGGGAGAUUCUGGUCAGAACUCAGAAGACCAUAAUGCUGUUAAACACGCAGACAGAAAGAUUUGGUUCAGGAGGUUUCAUUUGGGAACAAAGACUCCUUUGGUAGUUGGACUCAAAACUUUGUGUGUUAUGCUUUGUUAGAAAACUUGUUAAUAUUUCUCCCAUGUACUAACACUUUGCAGGAAAUUGAGAUUAAAGGUGCAAGACUCAUCAGAGGAAUCUAAUAAGUAGAGGAAAUUUCAAGUCACCCCAACAUUAAGUCUAUGGCAUUAGUACUGUUUGCUGCUUUUAGCUUAAUUUAUAGUGAGACUCAGGAGCAAAUAUUAGAGAUGUAUAAUUUGAAAAGUGUAUGUUUUCAAUAGAAAGAAAGCACUGCAAAGUUGAGGCCUCAGAGAACAUGUUGAAAAGAUUAGCAUUAAAAAGAAGACAAGUAUUUUGCAUCAGGACAACAGUAAAGAUGGCUUGAGGGCAUCUCAGGAAUAAGCAAGACCCCAACCUUCACUGGCUCAAGGGUAUGAAAAGGUGAAAUUAAACUGCUUUGGAAAACUUUGCUUUGAAUAGAGAGCCCCAAGACACCCUGCUCAGAAAAGGACACUUAGAGAAAUGGUUCCCUGGGAUUUGGUUCACAGAAUUCAGCAAUCCAGGCACUUGGAAAUCUGUGGCUGUGAUCCAAGGAGGGCUUGCUACUGCUUGACCUGGUGGCAGACCUUGGCAUCACCCAUGUGUUGCCAUUUUAUUUGAAUGGAGAAUCCAAGAGUUGUAGGGUCAGGGAGAUUUUCUUUCAGAUUUCAAAAGAAGGCCUAUGAGGCCAGGCUGUGUGACCCUGAGAGUGCAGUACAUGAAUUUGUGAGAGUGAAGCUGGCAGUAUAGUGGAGACCCUAAGAAGUUGGAGGUGCCAGGAAUGUGGAACAUCUGCUGAGGAAAGCCAUAGGCAGUGAGCUGAGCCAGCCUAAGAGAGGAACCUUGAGGGAUGGAAUGAGC